AGCGGGAAAGUAGCUUGCUACUUUUGCCGGCGAGCGGCGGACGGGUGAGUAAUGCCUGGGAAAUUGCCCAGUCGAGGGGGAUAACAGUUGGAAACGACUGCUAAUACCGCAUACGCCCUACGGGGGAAAGCAGGGGACCUUCGGGCCUUGCGCGAUUGGAUAUGCCCAGGUGGGAUUAGCUAGUUGGUGAGGUAAUGGCUCACCAAGGCGACGAUCCCUAGCUGGUCUGAGAGGAUGAUCAGCCACACUGGAACUGAGACACGGUCCAGACUCCUACGGGAGGCAGCAGUGGGGAAUAUUGCACAAUGGGGGAAACCCUGAUGCAGCCAUGCCGCGUGUGUGAAGAAGGCCUUCGGGUUGUAAAGCACUUUCAGCGAGGAGGAAAGGUCAGUAGCUAAUAUCUGCUGGCUGUGACGUUACUCGCAGAAGAAGCACCGGCUAACUCCGUGCCAGCAGCCGCGGUAAUACGGAGGGUGCAAGCGUUCAUCGGAAUUACUGGGCGUAAAGCGCACGCAGGCGGUUGGAUAAGUUAGAUGUGAAAGCCCCGGGCUCAACCUGGGAAUUGCAUUUAA
rnacentral:rRNA from 1 species